GAGUUCUUUGUUAUGGAAACCUAGGGAGAUAUCUUCUCUCCUUUCUUCAAAGAACGCGACCAUGCAUCAUGCAUGUACCUUUUCUUCCUUCAGUUUUGCUUAUUUUUCUAAGCCGAUUAGAGUGUAUCAAAGAGCAAACAAAACAUGUCUUCCUUUACCUCCUCAGCUAAAGUGUGACAAUGUUUUGAGGUAAGGGGGCGGGCUGGGGAUCUUUGCAACUUUUAGAGAGCUUUGAAGCAAGCUUGAGUUGUGUUUGGGAUCUUUGAAACUCUCUUGAUCAUUGCAAGAGUUUAGAGAUCUCAUGCUUUAGGUGACCCUGACAUAAAGGCACUACGAUUUUUUUUGUUGCCUUAAUGUUUGUUUUUUUUUUGGUAUUUUAAGAGUCAAAAUGGGUGAAAAGUCUUU
rnacentral:lncRNA from 1 species